rnacentral:rRNA from 1 species
GAUGAACGCUGGCGGCGUGCUUAACACAUGCAAGUCGAACGAAGCACUAAGUUUGAUUCUUCGGAUGAAGACUUUUGUGACUGAGUGGCGGACGGGUGAGUAACGCGUGGGUAACCUGCCUCAUACAGGGGGAUAAACAGUUAGAAAUGACUGCUAAUACCGCAUAAGCGCACAGCAUCGCAUGAUGCAGUGUGAAAAACUCCGGUGGUAUGAGAUGGACCCGCGUCUGAUUAGCUAGUUGGUGAGGUAACGGCUCACCAAGGCGACGAUCAGUAGCCGACCUGAGAGGGUGAUCGGCCACAUUGGGACUGAGACACGGCCCAA